rnacentral:rRNA from 1 species
UGAACGCUGGCGGCGUGCCUAAUACAUGCAAGUCGAGCGAACGGACGAGAAGCUUGCUUCUCUGAUGUUAUCGGCGGACGGGUGAGUAACACGUGGAUAACCUACCUAUAAGACUGGGAUAACUUCGGGAAACCGGAGCUAAUACCGGAUAAUAUUUUGAACCGCAUGGUUCAAAAGUGAAAGACGGUCUUGCUGUCACUUAUAGAUGGAUCCGCGCUGCAUUAGCUAGUUGGUAAGGUAACGGCUUACCAAGGCAACGAUGCAUAGCCGACCUGAGAGGGUGAUCGGCCACACUGGAACUGAGACACGGUCCAGACUCCUACGGGAGGCAGCAGUAGGGAAUCUUCCGCAAUGGGCGAAAGCCUGACGGAGCAACGCCGCGUGAGUGAUGAAGGUCUUCGGAUCGUAAAACUCUGUUAUUAGGGAAGAACAUAUGUGUAAGUAACUGUGCACAUCUUGACGGUACCUAAUCAGAAAGCCACGGCUAACUACGUG